rnacentral:rRNA from 1 species
AACGAACGCUGGCGGCAUGCCUAACACAUGCAAGUCGAACGAGACCUUCGGGUCUAGUGGCGCACGGGUGCGUAACGCGUGGGAACCUGCCCUUAGGUUCGGAAUAACUCCCCGAAAGGGGUGCUAAUACCGGAUAAUGUCUUCGGACCAAAGAUUUAUCGCCUUUGGAUGGGCCCGCGUUGGCUUAGCUAGUUGGUAGGGUAAAAGCCUACCAAGGCGACGAUCCAUAGCUGGUCUGAGAGGAUGAUCAGCCACACUGGGACUGAGACACGGCCCAGACUCCUACGGGAGGCAGCAGUGGGGAAUAUUGGACAAUGGGCGAAAGCCUGAUCCAGCAAUGCCGCGUGAGUGAUGAAGGCCUUAGGGUUGUAAAGCUCUUUUACCCGGGAUGAUAAUGACAGUACCGGGAGAAUAAGCUCCGGCUAACUCCGUG